UGGGGUGUCGCUCAGUGGUAGAGAGCUUGCCUGGCAUGUGUGAGGCACUGGAUUCGAUCCCCAGCACCACAU
rnacentral:tRNA from 1 species